rnacentral:lncRNA from 1 species
AUGAUGUCACAAGUGGAAAAUUCCACCUCUGGCCUCACGAGACAGGUCGUAAGUCAAAGCACAGGCACAGAAGAGACGCUGUAUAACACUACCUUCGGGCUGUACGAGGUGUCUGCGAAACCCCAGCAGCCUGCAGACCAAAGUGUCUGCCCUCUUAUUAUCUAUCUGAUCCUGAAGAUGACCAAAGUCUCCAGUCACCACUUGUUCCACUGGUCUUUUGUUCUCCUCAGUCUCUGGCUCAGACCACAGAUAAAGGUGACAGAAGCUUGUGCUAAAGAGGGCUCCAGUGCGCUCUGUUGUCCGCCCACGAUCCAGCAGGGGCUCUCUAUAGAAACUCGUGGUUACUUUUUAUCAAAUGGACUCCAGAACUACAGCUCUCUUGGAGGAGUUAAUCUUCAACAAAAACAGUCACAAAUCCUUAUGCAGAACCUAACUCUCACCCCAGGGCCUUUUAUCUAUAAAAUAUGGGUAAUAAAGUUGCCGACCUCACUGGUCAUAUGAGAGUCAAAGGAAUGAAGCCGGAGGAAGAGCUGAAUGCUAUGCUUGGAAUCAAUUAAGUGUGUGAUAAAUGUGAUCUUAUGUUUCAUUAAAAAACUUAACAGGAAAAGAGCUGCAAUUACGCUUGUGCUCUACUGCAAAAUAAUAAUGGAAACCUACAUCGGUAGUCAGAUAGGCCUAGGAGAAUUUAAAAGGGAAACCAGACUGGGCAUUUUAAUUCCUCUCCCCUAAAGUUUUCAUACAUGUUUAAUAUCUGGAUAAAAAGAGAUCUAGUCCCUUUGACAUUUCACAAGUACGCAAGAAUACCAAGGGGAAAAUGUGGAAUGCGGUCUAUAAACCUCUAUAAUCCCAUAGAAUUAAGAGAAGUUUCGAAACAUGUUCAGAAUUUCCUGACAGGUCUUUUGAAAUACUGUCCCAGGGCUUCUUAUUUUUCCUGUGGCAGACGUGAGACCCCUAAGAAUCAAAGCUAGUUUUAAAGAAAGAACAUUUUCAGAUAGGGGAGAGGGAGAGCAACUGGCAAAAACUAUUACCAUUUUUCCAAGUAGAAAGAAAUAUGGGUGGGUUAUUGUUUGAUGGAGGAAAACUCAAAGGAUCCUGCCCACUGUGGAAUAUACUGGUGUAAAAAAAAAAAAAAAAAAAAGAAUGACACAGAGGGGCAGCUGAAAGAGGAAACGGGCCCCUGGAAGGACAAAUGUGGGAUCUUUGGAAUUAAGUCAAAAGCCAAAUGGCGGUCCUGACAUUUAGUCUGAUACAUAAAAAUAUUCCCUGGAAGAAAAGCCGGGAGGUUGUCAAGAAUGUUUCUUUUCCCUAGAAAAAAGAAGAAAGUCACUUUUCCCUAGAAAGGUCACCAGAAACUAGCAUGGUUCAACAGACAAAGCAAGUGACAGCAGCCCACCCGCAGGAGGAAGAGCAGAUUCCCUGUCCUCAUGGGGCACGGGGUGGGAGCCUCAGAAAGCCCUAGCUUAUGCCUACGAGCAGCGGAGACGUCCUCUGAAGUCACACCUUUCCUCUGCAUGAUUCUUUGAGAAAAGAGCUGCCUUAGGAAAAAAACAAAAAUCAAAAUAACUCUCCACCUGAAAGCAAUAUCCUUCCAUCUUUCAGUGUCAACUUUCAGUAAUACAACUUGUAAUUUAAAGUCUUCAAGGUAGAAUAGGAACAGAUGCACCCAUUUAUAACAUCUCAAUCUUCAAACCUGCUCCACUGAAUGGUCUGUGUGUAGCAAGGAAUUAUUUUCUUGUGGCCUUUAAAAUGCUUAUUCCUUUUCUUUCCCUCCUCCCCUCUUCUAUUUGCAAUGCACAUGCUGGCUACAAAAAAAGAAAAAAAAAAACUCUUAGAUUUUAUGACUUAAAAAUAUCAGAAGCUAAAGGAAGCUUUUUUUUUUUUUUUUAAAGCCAAAGCCCUGAACCUUCCAAAAGGAAUAUUCGUCUCCUCUUUCCACUUCCCCUGCCAGUCUUCAGAUUGAGGGGUCGGUGAAUGAAGAGACAUUCUUCUAUGUCUGAUCCCUCACAGUAGCUCAUGGUAUCUGGGGAGCAUUUUUACAAAACACUGAGUCUGAGGAAUAGAACAAAUUCUUCCACUUCUCCUAAACACCUAGUGCUAUCUGAAGAUGACAGAACUGGAAACAAGAUGGGGUCUCUCAGCCAACCUGUCUACCCAAAGACACUGUAGACUGACAGAGGUAUUUUUCUUAUUAAGUGAACACAGAUGCAAUGACCUAGAAGGUGGCCUGGAUGUGCUGUGUAUGACUCUCCACUGGACACCCAAUCUUCACACAACUCCCGCGAG